UUUGUGCAGGCCCGGUUCUAUUUUCAGCAAUUGAUAUCCGGGAACAGCUACGGUCAGGCUAUGGUAUGUCUUAUGUGUGAGAUUUUCUUAUCACAAUUAUAGAAAGGUGGUUGGAUCGGGUUUAGUGGAUGAUGAAAACAAGCAAAAAGGCAUAUUCAAUUGCUUGCAGAUCGGACCGGGAACCACGUAUGCUGCCAUUCGGGUUAAUGGCAUUUGGAUCGACUACCGAAUCGGUUUCUACGUAUCCGUUCCCG